rnacentral:rRNA from 1 species
CCUGCUAGUCGCACGAGUUCAGACUCGUGGCGAAUAGCUCAGUAACACGUGGCCAAACUACCCUUCGGAGCACGAUACCCUCGGGAAACUGAGGCUAAUAGUGUAUACCAUACCCCCACUGGAAUGAGUGGUAUGCCAAACGCUCCGGCGCCGAAGGAUGUGGCUGCGGCCGAUUAGGUAGACGGUGGGGUAACGGCCCACCGUGCCAAUAAUCGGUACGGGUCAUGAGAGUGAGAACCCGGAGACGGAAUCUGAGACAAGAUUCCGGGCCCUACGGGGCGCAGCAGGCGCGAAACCUUUACACUGCACGACAGUGCGAUAGGGGGAUCCCAAGUGCACAGGCAUAGCGCCUGUGCUUUUCGGCACCCUAAGGCGGUGCCAGAAUAAGGGCUGGGCAAGACCGGUGCCAGCCGCCGCGGUAAUACCGGCAGCCCAAGUGAUGGCCGAUCUUAUUGGGCCUAAAGCGUCCGUAGCUGGCCGCGCAAGUCCAUCGGGAAAUCCACCUGCUCAACAGGUGGGCGCCCGGUAGAAACUGCGUGGCUUGGGACCGGAAGGCGCGACGGGUACGUCCGGGGUAGGAGUGAAAUCCCUGUAAUCCUGGACGGACCGCCGAUGGCGAAAGCACGUCUGCGAGGACGGAUCCGACAGUGAGGGACGAAAGCCAGGGUCUCGAACCGGAUUAGAUACCCGGGUAGUCCUGGCCUGUAAACAAUGUCUGCUAGGUGUGGCUCCCACUACUAGUGGGUGCUGUGGCGUAAGGAAGCCGCUAAACAGAC